ACAGAUCGUUCAGAGUUUGAUCCUGGCUCAGGACAACGCUGGCGGCGUGCCUAACACAUGCAAGUCAACGGGGUGAUUUCUUCGGAGAUCACUUAGUGGCGAACGGGUGAGUAACGCGUGAGAAACCUGCCUUUCAGUGGGGGACAACAGUUGGAAACGACUGCUAAUACCGCAUAAUGUUAUUUGGGGGCAUCCCCGAAUAACCAAAGAUUUAUUGCUGAAAGAUGGUCUCGCGUCUGAUUAGCUAGUUGGUGAGGUAACGGCUCACCAAGGCGACGAUCAGUAGCCGGUCUGAGAGGAUGAACGGCCACAUUGGGACUGAGAUACGGCCCAG
rnacentral:rRNA from 1 species